AGGCUUCUCCGAGGGAUUGUCCGGGCGGUUUUAGAAAAAGAUCUGGUUUACUUCAAAAACGAAAAUCUGUAGAUGAGACGCAAUUUGAUGCUGAAAAAUUGUUUCGAUUCCUGCUGUACAACUUACGACAAGAAGAACGUAGACGAUUAGAAGAUUCCAGUCCGUUAAACAUGCUGGGUUUACGAUCAAACAGAAUAUUAUCACAGGAACAGAGCAGAUAAUUGCGACCGUCCACGGACCCGUGGUCGACAGCAACCACCACCACCAAGACGCUUUAAUCAAAAUCAUCUGUAACCUUUGAACCACCAUCGACUGAAAGCUUCUAGAAAACCAUUUCAUCACAAAGGAUCAUCAACAUUAUGAUUUAGAAUAUGUUUCAUUUAUUAUUUAAAAAUUGCAAGAAUCCAAAAUUCAUAUUGAUCACUAAAUGUCUCUAAAUCUAGCUCGAUUUUGUUAAGAGAGGUUUCUUUGUCAGGGAUUCUGAAAUAACAUGAAAGUCGUAUUUAUUAAUAAAAAGUCUAAAUUUGUCCUCAUUUUAGACAGCAUAGUUCUUGAAUCUUUUUGCUAAGUAUCAUUUAGCAUCACUAUGAAAUUUGUUUUCUGAUAAUGUAUAGAUGGUCGUGUACACGCUUUAAUGAGUUUAUAUCUAAAAUAUUAUUAUUUCAAAGAAAAUUUUUUAUUUAUUAUGUUCAACUAAUAGCAUGUCUAGUAGAUAAAACUGGUGGUAGUUGAUGAUUAAAGCAUCAAUCUAGGGGAUUUGCCAAUGAUAAAUGGUAUUGCAUAAAAGACUGUAGUUUUCAUUUCUUAUCUAAAUUUCUUUCUGUCUAUUUCGUUUAAUUUUGGCCCUUGAAACAAUAUUGAAUACUAUUUUAUAUAGAGAACAACAAGAGUAAUUAUUAUGUUUCAUAUUUCUGUCUGCAUUAUGAACACUUCUUUAAGCUGCAGGUUUGAGUUAUAUAAUUCAUUGCCAAUACCGAUCAUAGAUUAUUAGAUAGAUUGAUCAGUCUCUCAGUGUACAUACAAGAGUAUGCUUACCCCUGCCAGAACUCUUUUGAUACAACUUCACCAUUGCGUAGUAAAAUCUGAGUAAUUUCUGACUUACAAUAACUCGAUUUUUUCUAAGGACUCUUCCGGAAAGAGUAUGCUUACGCCUUCCGGGACCCUUUAUACAACUUCAGUAUUGGGUAUUUAUUACCGAAGCAAUUUCUCAUUAGAAGAUUUACGUACCAUUAAAACUCUUUGUAAUAGCUCACCACUUAAGAUUUACUGCGUACAAUAUUGUGUUAAUUUUCUCUAAAUUUUUCUUAAUUUGUUCACAUGAUUCGUUAGUAUUAAUAUCCGUUUCUACAUAAUUUAAAUAACUUUAUUAUGUGCUUACAAUUGAUAGUUAGUUUCACGGUAACGCUGUUAUCGGCAUACUUUUACUUUUAAGAUAAAGAAAAUAAUAAAAGCCGUCUUUUAGUGCUCGGCAUCGUCUGGACAAAAUAUUAGAAUUGUCACAUAUCUGUCAGAUUAUUCUACCAUGUAAAAUAUUUCUCAGACAAAUAAUUGAAUUGCUUGAGAGAUGUAAUAACCACGUGGCAAAAUUGAAUCAAAGUCCCAUUCAAAAUUUAUAACCUUAAAAAUAUAUCAGACAUUGCACACCUUAUAAUGGAAUAAAAUGACCAUUUUAUGACCAAGUUAAGAGAUCAACAAGACUGGAUUUGAAAUAACAUGACCAUAUAAUGAAAAGGUUAGUACGAUCCGAUUUCAUAGAGCAAAGGGAUAUAAGCGUAAAGAUAUAAUUCAACAACAUUUAUGCUUAGUAAACAGUUGAAUUUGUUCAGAGAUUAGACGGAAUAAAUUUAUUUUAGUAUCGUAUUUAGAACAUUAAACAUUAUUAUUUGAUGUAAAACUUAUUGAUUUAUUUUAAGAUUAAACAUUAUUAAACAUUUGAUGUAAAAGGUAUUGUUUUAUUUUAAGACUAAACAUUAUUAAUUAUUUGAUGUAAUUAUUCCAUUAUAUAUUCAUAUAAAUAUAAAUAUACAUAUUCUGCUAAACACCUAUAUUAAAGCCUCGGUUGACUUUUA